CCAAAGGCUCUUUUCAGAGCCCCCUUACCGUUUCAGAGGAAGAGCU
rfam:Macaca mulatta chromosome 4, whole genome shotgun sequence.